rnacentral:rRNA from 1 species
AAAAACCCGCACGCCGGAAGACCAAGGGUUCCUGUCCAACGUUAAUCGGGGCAGGGUGAGUCGACCCCUAAGGCGAGGCCGAAAGGCGUAGUCGAUGGGAAACAGGUUAAUAUUCCUGUACUUGGUGUUACUGCGAAGGGGGGACGGAGAAGGCUAUGUUAGCCGGGCGACGGUUGUCCCGGUUUAAGCAUGUAGGCGGGAAGUUUAGGUAAAUCCGGACUUCUUUUAACGCUGAGGUGUGAUGACGAGGCACUACGGUGCUGAAGUAACAAAUGCCCUGCUUCCAGGAAAAGCCUCUAAGCAUCAGGUAACACGAAAUCGUACCCCAAACCGACACAGGUGGUCAGGUAGAGAAUACCAAGGCGCUUGAGAGAACUCGGGUGAAGGAACUAGGCAAAAUGGUGCCGUAACUUCGGGAGAAGGCACGCUGAUAUGUAGGUGAAGUGAUUUACUCAUGGAGCUGAAAUCAGUCGAAGAUACCAGCUGGCUGCAACUGUUUAUUAAAAACACAGCACUGUGCAAACACGAAAGUGGACGUAUACGGUGUGACGCCUGCCCGGUGCCGGAAGGUUAAUUGAUGGGGUUAUCCGUAAGGAGAAGCUCUUGAUCGAAGCCCCGGUAAACGGCGGCCGUAACUAUAACGGUCCUAAGGUAGCGAAAUUCCUUGUCGGGUAAGUUCCGACCUGCACGAAUGGCGUAAUGAUGGCCAGGCUGUCUCCACCCGAGACUCAGUGAAAUUGAACUCGCUGUGAAGAUGCAGUGUACCCGCGGCAAGACGGAAAGACCCCGUGAACCUUUACUAUAGCUUGACACUGAACACUGGUCCUUGAUGUGUAGGAUAGGUGGGAGGCUUUGAAGUGUGGACGCCAGUCUGCAUGGAGCCAUCCUUGAAAUACCACCCUUUAAUGGCUGGUGUUCUAACGUAGACCCGUGAUCCGGGUUGCGGACAGUGUCUGGUGGGUAGUUUGACUGGGGCGGUCUCCUCCUAAAGAGUAACGGAGGAGCACGAAGGUUAGCUAAUCCUGGUCGGACAUCAGGAGGUUAGUGCAAAGGCAUAAGCUAGCUUGACUGCGAGAGUGACGGCUCGAGCAGGUGCGAAAGCAGGUCUUAGUGAUCCGGUGGUUCUGAAUGGAAGGGCCAUCGCUCAACGGAUAAAAGGUACUCCGGGGAUAACAGGCUGAUACCGCCCAAGAGUUCAUAUCGACGGCGGUGUUUGGCACCUCGAUGUCGGCUCAUCACAUCCUGGGGCUGAAGUAGGUCCCAAGGGUAUGGCUGUUCGCCAUUUAAAGUGGUACGCGAGCUGGGUUUAGAACGUCGUGAGACAGUUCGGUCCCUAUCUGCCGUGGGCGCUGGAGAAUUGAGGGGGGCUGCUCCUAGUACGAGAGGACCGGAGUGGACGCAUCACUGGUGUUCGGGUUGUCAUGCCAAUGGCAUUGCCCGGUAGCUAAAUGCGGAAGAGAUAAGUGCUGAAAGCAUCUAAGCACGAAACUUGCCCCGAGAUGAGUUCUCCCUGACUCCUUGAGAGUCCUGAAGGAACGUUGAAGACGACGACGUUGAUAGGUCGGGUGUGUAAGUGUAGCGAUACAUUGAGCUAACCGAUACUAAUGAACCGUGAGGCUUAACCUU